rnacentral:rRNA from 1 species
AUAGAACGCUGGCGGCAUGCUUUACACAUGCAAGUCGAACGGUAACAGGCCUUCGGGCGCUGACGAGUGGCGAACGGGUGAGUAAUGCAUCGGAACGUGCCCAGUCGUGGGGGAUAACGCAGCGAAAGCUGUGCUAAUACCGCAUACGAUCUGCGGAUGAAAGCGGGGGACCUUCGGGCCUCGCGCGAUUGGAGCGGCCGAUGUCAGAUUAGGUAGUUGGUGGGGUAAAGGCUCACCAAGCCAACGAUCUGUAGCUGGUCUGAGAGGACGACCGGCCACACUGGGACUGAGACACGGCCCAGACUCCUACGGGAGGCAGCAGUGGGGAAUUUUGGACAAUGGGCGCAAGCCUGAUCCAGCAAUGCCGCGUGCAGGAAGAAGGCCUUCGGGUUGUAAACUGCUUUUGUACGGAGCGAAAAGGCUCCCUCUAAUACAGGGGGCUCAUGACGGUACCGUAAGAAUAAGCACCGGCUAACUACGUGCCAGCCGCCGCGGUAAUAC